GAUUGUAACCUUGGGGUUGGCUCUUGUCUAUGUUUCUUGGAACAGGACGUCACAGAGGGUGAGAAUCCCGUGCGAUGAGAUGUCUAAUCCUAUGUAAGGUGCUUUCGAAGAGUCGAGUUGUUUGGGAAUGCAGCUCUAAGUGGGUGGUAAAUUCCAUCUAAAGCUAAAUAUUGGCGAGAGACCGAUAGCGAACAAGUACAGUGAUGGAAAGAUGAAAAGAACUUUGAAAAGAGAGUGAAAAAGUACGUGAAAUUGUUGAAAGGGAAGGGUUUGAGAUCAGACUCGAUAUUUUGUGAGCCUUGCCUUCGUGGCGGGGUGACCCGCAGCUUAUCGGGCCAGCAUCGGUUUGGGCGGUAGGAUAAUGGCGUAGGAAUGUGACUUUGCUUCGGUGAAGUGUUAUAGCCUGCGUUGAUGCUGCCUGCCUAGACCGAGGACUGCGAUUUUAUCAAGGAUGAUGGCAUAAUGAUCCCAAACCGCCCGUCUUGAAACACGGACCAAGGAGUCUAACGUCUAUGCGAGUGUUUGGGUGUUAAACCCGUACGCGUAAUGAAAGUGAACGUAGGUGAGGGCUCUUUUGAGUGCAUCAUCGACCGAUCCUGAUGUCUUCGGAUGGAUUUGAGUAAGAGCAUAGCUGUUGGGACCCGAAAGAUGGUGAACUAUACCUGAAUAGGGUGAAGCCAGAGGAAACUCUGGUGGAGGCUCGUAGCGGUUCUGACGUG
rnacentral:rRNA from 1 species